ACCCAACUGACGAGUCCCAACUGGGGCGAAACGCGCGUCCUGGAU
rnacentral:hammerhead_ribozyme from 1 species